ACUGCGAGCGUGACGGCGCGAGCAGGUGCGAAAGCAGGUCAUAGUGAUCCGGUGGUUCUGAAUGGAAGGGCCAUCGCUCAACGGAUAAAAGGUACUCCGGGGAUAACAGGCUGAUACCGCCCAAGAGUUCAUAUCGACGGCGGUGUUUGGCACCUCGAUGUCGGCUCAUCACAUCCUGGGGCUGAAGUAGGUCCCAAGGGUAUGGCUGUUCGCCAUUUAAAGUGGUACGCGAGCUGGGUUUAGAACGUCGUGAGACAGUUCGGUCCCUAUCUGCCGUGGGCGCUGGAGAACUGAGGGGGGCUGCUCCUAGUACGAGAGGACCGGAGUGGACGCAUCACUGGUGUUCGGGUUGUCAUGCCAAUGGCACUGCCCGGUAGCUAAAUGCGGAAGAGAUAAGUGCUGAAAGCAUCUAAGCACGAAACUUGCC
rnacentral:rRNA from 1 species